GCUCGUCUGGAAAGUUCCCCACGCAGUCAGUCAGUCAGCGACGGGAACCGGUUUUUCGGGAACGCUGACCCACGCGUGAUCUGCUCCGAGCCAUGGGCGACGUGCUGCGAGGAGCGGCGGCGCUGUGUGCACUCAAAGUGGCCUGCAGCUCGGCGUCCGUGCCGGCGCUGGGCGCCCCCCGCAGCCCCGUCGGCCUGUGCUGCUGCUGCCUGCUGAUCUUCACCGACCUUCUCGUCGCGGUUUCCCUGAGCUCCCUCUACGUGUUCCGGUCGUGGCUGCCCGAACUCCCCGGUGACGUCAUCGCUCUGCGCUUCCUGCUCUUCCUCAGCCACGUGUAUGGAGGCGUGCUGCUCCUCAUCACCCCCCUCAUGGCUGCGGACACCCUGUACAGGCUGCUGGGCCCGGCCGCCGGUUCCGAUGGGCGGCGCCGCGCCGGCGUGGCGGCGGCGGAGCGGCAGCAGGAGGAGGAGAGCGAGGACGCGGACGCGGACGCGGAGCAGUGGUUGUUUCAUGCGGUGUGUUACCUCGGCUGCCUGGCAGCGUGGGUCUUUGUGGCCCUGAACGUGAGGUGGCGAUGGAGGCUGGAGGAAGUGUGGUCUGCCUCCUGCGUGCACGCGACCGGCUCCCUCAUCGGAUGCUUGCCCCGGCUGCUCCCUCCCGGUCCCGUGGACGCGGAUCCGUGCCGGGGCACGGUCUCGCUCCUCCUCAUCCCCCUCCUCCUCUUCCUCCCCCCGCUGCUCCUGACCAUGAACGCACGCAUGCACGGACGCCGCCGGGUCCCGGGGGGCCUCGCUCCUGUCGGGCCCGCGUCCUCUGCGUCAGCGCCAGCACCGUUUGUUGACCCAGGGAAAACACAGAGCAGCUGUGCCCUUCACGCACAGCAUUGGCGGAGCAGCGUGCAGAUGCCGACACGUCACCAUGGAGACCGGCCUGAGCACAGAAGGACAAAGGGAGGCGCAACGCGCGGAGACCCACGGCACGUGAUCAGCCGCUGCGGACGGGGCUUCCCCCGCCGCGGGGCGCGCGCGAUGCUGGGACCGGUGGUCGCGCUCUCCGUCGUCGUGCUGCCCCCGAACCUCAGCGUGAACGUUCUGGCGAUCCGGACCGUGGAGACGCUGCUGGAGCUGACGGUCAGAGGCUUGGUUUCACUCGCGGCCAACGCGACAGAAACCCCGGCCGUUCGCGACACGACGCUCGUGUGA
rnacentral:lncRNA from 1 species